rfam:Psychrobacillus sp. FJAT-21963 super11, whole genome shotgun sequence.
UCAAACGGAAGGCAAUCUAAGUUCGCCGCGUUCUGCGGCAACGAUUGCAUGACCCACAUCCUGUGGG